CCCCCAAAGUGCUGGGAUCCCAGGUGUGAGCCACCAUGCCUAGCAACAAUGGCAAACUGUCAGUAAAAAGAAUGAGCCGACAAACCAAGAAGCCAGGCAACCUCCAGGGAAAUGGCCGCCAGGGCCGCCCGAGUCCAGCUGCUGGGGUGGAGGGGAAGGGCACAGUGCUGGCCGGGCAGACGGGCUGGGUGACAGGGCGUUUAAGGGAUCGAAAGAAAGAGAAGGUCCCCAGCAAGGGUGGCCUCCGUCGUGGCUCUUCCCACCCACCUCUGUACACUCGGGCUGCGAAAAGCCGACUGGAAAGGACACAGCCCGCAAAGCUGUCCUUCGGAGGGGAAGGCAGCUGGCUCCUGUACAGAACGGGCGGAGCGUCUGGAGAAGCCGCUCGAGUUAGGGACAGAGCGAGCUGAAAGGAGCUUGCCACGGCCGGGAAAGGGAAGGAAGUCACGUGAGGGCGCCAGGGGAGGGGGGCAGGGCCCGAGGACCAAGGGCCGCUUUCUUGAGCUAGCAGCUUCGUGCUCGAGAGAAGGGAAUAUGAACUGGACGUGAAGAGCACAAAGGAGAGAUGACACACGAUGACAGGAAGGCAGAGCAAGUUUGCAGAGGGGAGGAAGCACGCUGAAGCCCAAAUCAGCACCGUCACACGUCUGAAAACUCACUUCCCACACAGGACACGCCUGAGAGGCAAGUGAACAGCGUGGGACAGAAACUUGAAAUAAUCAUAAUGAAUUCAGAGAAAAAGGACAAAUAAAUUAAAUCUGCUGGACUGGAUUCCCUGAAGUCGGUUAUCCAACAGCCAAAAACAAAGAACCAACUCUGCGGACGGAAGGGACAUAAAUACAUACCAGGGACACGGGUUCAGCAUGAUGGACCUCAGAACAUGCCGGCUAAGCUGCUGAACUUUGAGGAUAAAGAAAAAAACCCUCCAGGCACAGAGGAGAGAGAAUCAUGUCACCAACAAGGGGAGGAAAAAAUCGAUCUGGCCUGAGAUUUUUCCUCAGCAACAUUCAAUGCCAGAAGACAAGACAACUGAGUCUUCAACGUUGUAUGGAAAAGGGAAAUCCAAGAGUAUUACGCCCAUUGAAGCUGUUCACAUUUACAGAGAACAUGGAAGAGGUCAGAGAAAAUAGCACCCAUGAGCCCUUUAUGGGAAAAAGGCCAAAACUGUUCGGCAGUGAAAUCCAGGGCAAAAAUCAAUUGCGCCCCGUGGACACAAGUCUUCAGCCUUCCUGUGGACACGCGUCGUCUGCAUUGCUGUGUUUUCUGCAGCUUAGAUGUGCUGAGAGACGGUGGAAGACGCGGGCACCCUACAGAAUCAGAUGAGCCAGCUCCAUGUGCCACAGGACGCUCCGGUAACAUUUUGGAGGGGGGUCCAUUUCAAAGUGUUUCCCAGAUUUUUCUGAUACAAUCAUUAGAUGACUCAAAACGGAAAACUCAGGGACAAAAUGUGGUUAAAAACCAGAAUGGAAAAAAAAAAAAAAAAGAACAGAAUCUAUUAAAAAACAGGA